CCUUGUACACACCGCCCGUCACACCAUGGGAGCGGGUUCUGCCAGAAGUAGUUAGCCUAACCGCAAGGAGGGCGAUUACCACGGCAGGGUUCGUGACUGGGGUGAAGUCGUAACAAGGUACCC
rnacentral:rRNA from 1 species